rnacentral:rRNA from 1 species
GGGAGAUCAAGUUUUCGGACGAGAGAUCCCUGGUGAGAGUGGCGGAAGGGUGAGGAACACGUGGGUAAUCUACCUCCGAGUCGGGGACAACCCCGCGAAAGCGGGGCUAAUACCGGAUAUGGACGUCCGUCGCAUGGCGGACAGUUCAAAGGCGGGGACCUUUCGGGGCCUGCCGCUUGGAGAGGGGCCCGCGUCCUAUCAGCUUGUUGGUGAGGUAACGGCUCACCAAGGCUUACGGGUAGCUGGUCUGAGAGGAUGGUCAGCCACACUGGGACUGAGACACUGCCCAGACUCCUACGGGAGGCUGCAGUCGAGGAUCAUUCACAAUGCGCGAAAGCGUGACGAUGCGACGCUGCGUGGAGGAUGAAGGCCUUCGGGUUGUAAACUCCUGUCACUCGGGAACAACGGGCCGGUCCUGAACAGGGGCUGGAUUUGAUAGUACCGAGAGAGGAAGCCACGGCUAACUCUGUGCCAGCAGCCGCGGUAAGACAGAGGUGGCGAGCGUUGUUCGGAUUUA